rnacentral:rRNA from 1 species
UGGGGAAUCUUCCGCAAUGGGCGCAAGCCUGACGGAGCAACGCCGCGUGAGUGAAGAAGGGUUUCGACUCGUAAAGCUCUGUUGUCGGGGACGAACGUGGAGAUGGUGAAUAACCAUUUCCAAUGACGGUACCUGACGAGGAAGCCACGGCUAACUACGUGCCAGCAGCCGCGGUAAUACGUAGGUGGCGAGCGUUGUCCGGAAUUAUUGGGCGUAAAGGGAGCGCAGGCGGGAGAUCAAGUCUAUCUUAAAAGUGCGGGGCUCAACCCCGUGAGGGGAUGGAAACUGGUCUUCUUGAGUGCAGGAGAGGAAAGCGGAAUUCCUAGUGUAGCGGUGAAAUGCGUAGAUAUUAGGAGGAACACCAGUGGCGAAAGCGGCUUUCUGGACGACAACUGACGCUGAGGCGCGAAAGCCAGGGGAGCAAACGGGAUUAGAUACCCCGGUAGUCCUGGCCGUAAACGAUGGAUACUAGGUGUAGGAGGUAUCGACCCCUUCUGUGCCGGAGUUAACGCAAUAAGUAUCCCGCCUGGGGAGUACGGCCGCAAGGCUG